rnacentral:rRNA from 1 species
GACGAACGCUGGCGGCGUGCUUAACACAUGCAAGUCGAACGAAGUGGCGAACGGGGGAGUAAUACGUGAGUAACCUGCCCUCCUGUAUGGGAUAAGCCUUGGAAACGGGGUCUAAAACCGAAUACAGGGGGAUGGGCCGGCGGCCUAUCAGCUGGUUGGUGGGGUGAUGGGCUACCAAGGCGGUGACGGGUAGCCGGCCUGGGAGGGUGACCCGGCACCUGAGGAACGGUCUACGCUCCUAGCUGCUGCGGCAGUGAGGAGUUGGGGGUAAUGGACGAAGGGCGAAAGCCUCAUGGAGGGGCGUCGGAUGGGGGCUUUAGGCUUUCGGGUUGCUAACCUCUUUCGGUAACGGACGGGUAGUUGGAGAAGAAGCGCCGGCUAACUACGUGCCAGCAGCCGCGGUAAUAC